GACAGAGGUGCCGAGCGUUAGGCGGAAUCACUGGGCUUAAAGCGUGUGUAGGCGGACCGUUAAGUACCUUGUGAAAUCCCACGGCUCACCCGUGGAACGGCUGGGUAGACUGGCGGUCUUGGGCCACCUAGGGGCAGAUGGAACAGACGGUGGAGCGGUGAAAUGCGUAGAUAUCUGGAGGAACACCGGUGGCGAAGGCGGCAUCCUGGACCGGCAUUGACGCUGAGGCGCGAAAGCCAGGGGAGCAAACGGG
rnacentral:rRNA from 1 species